AGGGCCUGAUGCAAAUGAGGCUGGGAUUUGCCGCACUGCCAGGAAGAGGGUGGGACUGCUGUUUGGCACAGACAGUAGAUUUCCUGUGACUUGAACCCAUUGGAUCCACCGUGGGGUGGGCCAGGCCUGUUCAGGCAGAUCCAGUCUGGGAGGCACCACCCCUUCCCUCUGGGUUUUCAGUAGUGAAAGCACUGUGACCAUUUCCCCACCUCACCACCAGCCCCCUGAAACGAGAGGUUACCUCUCCAUGUGCUUGUUUGCUUAUUCAGUGAACUCUGAGCCUGGCCCUGGGCUGGACAAAGCUGGGGACCCAAAGGACUCAGUUCUCAGGCCUGCCCUCAGGAAGCUCCCAGUCUAGGGGAGACAGAGCCAGGACCAGAUAGUCCCAUCUGCCAGAUCAGGCCUGGGGCUCAGGGAGGGGUGAAAUCUCUGCCUAAUGAAUUAUGGAGGAGGUGGGUAUUGAAGCUGGGGCUUUGAAGUUCAAGUAGGAGUUUGCCGGAUAGACACGUGUAGGAAGAACAGUCCAGGCAAAUAAAAGCAGUUCACAGACCUGUAAGGGUAUGUAAAGGAGAUGAAUAUGUUUGAAACGUGUUUGCCCCACAAAAGCCAAGCCAGGGACUCCCUGUAGCCAAACCUGCAAGCACAAGGGAGCAGAUGGGGAAACUGAGGCCCAGAGAGGAGAAAUGAUUUAUUCAGAAUGAGCUUUGCUUCGGUAUCUGUAGUUUUUGGCAAUUUGGGCUCUAGCCUUGACUUUGAAACUAUUUUUCAUAGCUAAUGAAAAUAAGCCAUAUUGAGCAAUACAGUUAGGAUUCAAAAGCACGAAUAAGCUGACAUGGGGGAUAGAUAGCUUCCGGUGGCAUUUUCCCAUUUCCUGUCACAGAGGACAAGCCACAUAACUUGUGGCGCCCAGGGAGAAAUGAAAACGGAGAGCCCCUCAUUCAAAAAGUAUUCAGAAUGUCAAUAUGGCGACAGCAGAGCCCCUGGGUGCGGGGCCUGGGCGAGGCCCUGAGUCACACACCCACGAAGCCAGCCCUGUUCCACCGUGACCUUCCCAGGUGGGGACCGCUAUUACCUGUGUUUGGCUGGUGGGCGAACGGCACUGCGGAGUUGUUGAGUAGCUGGCACAGGGUCACGGAGCUGCAGGGAGGCAUGGACUCGACCUCUGCCACGUCCACCUAGAGAAACCACAAGGGGCUGCAGUGAGCCAGGCUUGAGCUGGAGAAGAGUUGGGGGUCCUCACCCGGUACCCACCCCCAACCCCAAGUCAGAGGGGGACUUGGCUUGGCGUUAUCCCCAGAGUAAUGGGGAGCCGUGGAGGAUGUGGAGCCCCCCAGAGAUGCCGCUGGGGCAGGGCGGGCCUAGGAGGGGCUGCAGGGACGAUGGAAUGUUCUGGAACCGGGGAGCUGGUGGCUGCACAGCUCUGUGCAUGCACUCAAAGCGAUUGAACUGUAUCAUUGAAAAUGCCUGAUUUUAUGUGAAUUUCACCAGAAGAACAAGAAGACAAUCAGGGGGGCGCCUGGCCAGCUCAGUCCACGGAGCAUGCGACUCUUGAUCUUGGGCUCAUGAGUUUGAGACCCUCAUUGGGCGUAGAGUUUACUUAAAAUAAAAAAAAAAAAACCUUGAAAACAAAAAGGCAAUCGCCGCCGACAGUCAGAGGGGUGAUAGAUUUCACAGCAGGCUCAGCCUUGCUCCCUCGAUCCACAAACACGCUGGUGGAUCUGUCGCGGCUCUGGCUCUGAUGGAUACGCCCAGUGCGCAAACAGUUCUGUGGCCAUUGACCCAGCAGCUGUGUGGACAACAGGGGUCCCUGAGAGGACCGGAUGAGAAGGGCAUCUGGCCUCUGUGGUCUUCCUCCAAACCCGCCCCACCCCCCCGGUCUAACCCAGAGAACCACAUUGCACAAACUCCAUUCAGGAGAUAUUUUAAAAAAUACCUGAUGUCAACACUGGCCAGUCUUCAAAAUCAGGGCAAGUCCGGUAAACUAUCACAUCCCAGAGGGGCCUAAGGAGAUGUGACAACUGAGUGUCGUGUGGGAUCCCAGUGGGGUCCUGGGGCAGAAAAGGGACAUCAGGGAGAACUACAGAAAUCUUAAACAAACAGAGGAGAUUAGUUACUAGCAUAUGGAUGACAAAUGUCCCACACUAAGGUGAAAGGUUCUCAGCGAGGGGAAGGGUGGCAGGCACACAAGGGUCCUCCACGCAACCUUUGCAGCUUGCCUACGGUUCUAAAAUUAAGCCGAUAACAAAAUAAAGCAUGGGCCCUGACCCCUGUCCUUCCGCCAUGCUAUUGCUCCUGCAUGGAGGAGCCCACCCAAGGCCAGCUGUCUGCACAUCCAUGUCCAAAACCCCCUGCAUGAAUGUCUUCUCUCCCAGAUUGGUUAGAAUCUUUUGGUUGCAAGUGACAGAAACUGCAACUGAAACUAGCUUUUUUUUUUUUUG